UACGUAGGUGGCAAGCGUUGUCCGGAUUUACUGGGCGUAAAGAGCGCGCAGGCGGUCGUUCAAGUCGCGUGUGAAAGCCCCCGGCUCAACUGGGGAGGGUCACGCGAUACUGAUCGACUCGAAGGCAGGAGAGGGAAGUGGAAUUCCCGGUGUAGUGGUGAAAUGCGUAGAUAUCGGGAGGAACACCAGUGGCGAAGGCGGCCCCCUGGUCGGAUACUGACGCUGAGACGCGAAAGCGUGGGGAGCAAACAGG
rnacentral:rRNA from 1 species